CCCUGUGGGCGGGGCCUCGCACAAGAUGGCGGCGGCUCCCUCAGGCGGGGGCAUUACCUCCACGCGCCCGCGGCCCCGCGCGUGUGAGGGCCCACCAGCACCCUCGGCGGGGGCCACCCUCCGAGAAAUCCUCCGAGGGCUUUGAGUUGGUGGAAGGCAGCGCAGCGGGCCUGUCCCCGGGCCCCCAGGGCGAGCGCGUCGCCAUCAGCGCUUCGUAACCCUUUCCUCACGGCGCCCCUCGGGCAUCGCGUCCCAGCGGGCGGGCCUGUCCUCCGCAGCCGGGACGGACGACCACCCUGCCCACACCGCUCAUCCCGCUUGCCCUUCGCUAUUCCUCUGUCUCCUUUCUGAGGGGUGGGCGGUGUGGACGCACCAGGGGUUCAUAAAGAGGCCUGUCGUGAUACUUCCCUCGGGGUUUGUAACUCCCUUCGGGGUGCGCGCCUGCCAGCGGAGCGGCGCCAUUGCCGUUCCUGUGCGGGCCCGCGCCCAGGAUCCUCGUGCCUCGGGGGCAGCCAGCACGUGCCAGCAGGCAGAGCGACCUGGGCAUGGCGGGGGUUUCCCCCUUCUCUCGCCGGCGUGAGAUGGGCGCGUGCGCGAGAUCGGUGGUGGGCGCAGACCCCUGGUUCUCGAGCAGGGGGUUGUGGCAAGACCCUGUCAAGGGCGCCGCAGCGUGCUUCGCGUUGCCGAGUGUGAGAACGUGAUUCACGAGAGAAACCCGGAGAGAGUCCGAAGAGGUUGAGAAGCGCUGGUAUAGAUGCACGCUCGCUGGCUGUUCCCAAAAUACUUACAAACAGGUUAGACCGUGGUUCUCGGGUUAGACCAGUGGUUCUCAUGUGGGGAGAGGGCACAGGAACGAGCCAGGGGUGCGCAAUGCUGGCAUCGCCACAGCACAGAGACUGCCCCGUGCACCUCACGUGGCAGGAGGCGCCUGGAAGCCGCGUUGGACGCUCCUCGUGCGUCCUGUGCCGAGCUUCACAUCUGCGGAUGUCCUAAGGCAGGGGUUUCCAAACUGCAAGACAUCUCGGGGGUGGGCUGCCUGAAGAGAACGGUUUGGUCGGCUGCAUGAGGACAUAAGAGGGACACUUCAGGAACUAAUGUACGAGCAGCAUGCUGGUGCUAUUUCAAAACGUCAGUAGGAUGAUACCUUUGAGUAUGUAACCUGACUGUAAACUGCUUGCUGACAGAAGGUUUGUAAAAAGGCAGCAAUGAAUGAGCAUUUAUAAUGUUGUACCAAGUGUUUUGUACGUAAGACUAUGUACUCACUGCUUUCUGUCUUGACUGAUCUAAUACUGAGUGCAAGUCAGUGCCUAUUUGUUUGUUUUUUUCAAAGAAAUUCAUUAUUUUUAAAUGGAAAAAAUUAAGUGCCAAAAAUAUAAAAUGCACCAUGUAAUCGACUGUCUGCUGUUCAAGCCACCUCUAAUUCAAUAAUGGAAACAUUCAACAUGGAAGACAAAUAUAACCAGCAGAACAAAUGUAUUGGAUGGAAUAUUAUGUACUGAAUGCUCUAAUGGCUGCUUCAAGAAGUGGUAAAUAAGGUGCUAACCUAGUUUUUGCUGGGAAAAUCUCUUUUGAAGCUUAACAUCAAAAAUGGUUUUUAAAGUUUAGACACCACCACAUGGCUUCAUGUCUUGCUUUCUAACAAGCACUUUAAAAAGCACAGCUAAAACGCAGCUGACAAACUUGAAAAAUCUUUUGUGUUGUUCCACUUCAAUGACCUAAUGAGAUAAUGGCUCAGUUCUGUUCUAGCUAAUGAGGUAUAACAUCUCCACUGAACCUUAAUACCAAACAGAGAUUUCUCUUAAGAUCUAGCCUUAACAUGCUUCUCUUGCUUCUAUUCAUCCUGCCAUAUUUUUAUGUAAGUGAUGUCCAAUGUAUAAAAGUAUGGGUCAGUUUUGAAAUAAAAAACACUUGCACACGGA